GGAAUGCAGAGCAGACCUCCUGGGUUCAACUGCUGGUCACAUCACAACAGAGGUGCUUCCUGCUGUAGCAGCUUCUGUCCAACAGCAGCCACUGACUGAGUCUGUUACCUUAAAGUCUACUAAUCUGCUCUGAAGACCCCAGAGAUGGCAGUGUCAGUCUGGUGGCUGGUCUGGCUGUUGCGUGAUCUACCACUUAAAUCUAGAUGGAAAUAUCUAAGCGUCUAUUGGAUGGAAUUCCUUGUAGCUUUAUGCAGACAUCUGUAUUUUCCUCAGGAUGGACUGUAAUAAAUCUGGUGAUCCUUUGACUGUCAUCCAUCCAUCCUUCAUGUCAAAUCUGUUCAUUUGGUUUACUACCAAACACCUGCAAAAUGAUGUUACUGUUAAUGUUACAGAUGCUUAUUUUUCUAGGACAAGCUUCUGGCAGUGUGGGGUGACAACCAGACAGUAUCACACCUGAUCAUUGUGGAAGUGAAGCUAAAGCAGGGAGGGAAAGUGUGGAGGAAGCUGCCUGUGUCUACAGAGAUGUGUGUCCAGCCAUCCACUGCACAACACAGUUUCAAAGUUACUGAAACUAUAAGUUAUAUAGAAUGAUUAGAUGGUGAUUUUUUAUAUUAAUGAUGUUUUGACAGACUAACUUGUGAAAGUUUCAAUUUGACAAAUCAAACUGGGGCUGCUUGACAAAUUAUUGUGAAAUGUAGAAGAAUGCAACGAAAUGUGCAACACAGGGCCAGAAGUUUACACCAUCAGAACAUGUUGAGAAUGUUCUUAAUGUAUGUUGAAAUAAAUAUUUUCAUAAAGAUUGA